AUUGAACGCUGGCGGCAUGCUCUACACAUGCAAGUCGAACGGUAACAGGCCGCAAGGUGCUGACGAGUGGCGAACGGGUGAGUAAUGCAUCGGAACGUGCCAGUCGUGGGGGAUAACUACUCGAAAGAGUAGCUAAUACCGCAUACGAUCUAUGGAUGAAAGCGGGGGACCGUAAGGCCUCGCGCGAUUGGAGCGGCCGAUGUCAGAUUAGGUAGUUGGUGGGGUAAAGGCUCACCAAGCCAACGAUCUGUAGCUGGUCUGAGAGGACGACCAGCCACACUGGGACUGAGACACGGCCCAGACUCCUACGGGAGGCAGCAGUGGGGAAUUUUGGACAAUGGGCGCAAGCCUGAUCCAGCAAUGCCGCGUGCAGGAAGAAGGCCUUCGGGUUGUAAACUGCUUUUGUACGGAACGAAACGGCUCUGGUUAAUACCCGGGGCUAAUGACGGUACCGUAAGAAUAAGCACCGGCUAACUACGUG
rnacentral:rRNA from 1 species